rnacentral:lncRNA from 1 species
GAAAAGGCACACUCAUAUAUUGCUGCUGGGUCUGCAAAUUGGUACAAUCACUCUGGAAAGCAAUAUGGAAAUUCCUCAGAAAACUUGGAAUGGAACCACUAUUUUACCCAUUUAUUGCACUCUUUGGUAUAUACCCAAGAGACUUUUUAAAAAAAUAACUUUAUUCUAUUUACUCAUUUGUAUGUGGUACUGAGGAUCAAACCCAGGGCCUUACAUGUGCUAGGUAAGCACUCUAUCGCUGACCUAUAGCCCUAGCCCCACCCAAGGGACUUAAAAGUAGCAUACUACAAUAUUGCUUCCACAUCAAUGUUUAUAAUAGCUCAAUUCACAUUAGGUAAACUAUGAAACCAACCUAGAUGCCUAUCAACAGAUGAAUGGGUAUAGAAAAUGUGGUAUAUAUACAAAUGGAAUAUUACUCAUCCAUAAAGAAGAAUGAAAUUAUGCCAUUUGCCUGUAAAUGGAUGGAACUGGGGACUAUCAUGCUAAGUGAAAUAAGCCAGUCCCAAAAACCUGAAUGCCAAAUGUUCUUUCUGAUAUGUGGAUGCUAACACACAAUGGGGGAAAGGGGAGGGAAGAAUAGAAGUUAAUUGAAUUAGUCAAAGGGAAGGAGGGGGAAUGAGAAUAGGAAUGACAAUAGAAUGAUUGGACAUAUAUAUGUUUAUAUAUGAAUACAUGACCAGUGAAACUCCACAUCAUGUACAAUCACAAGAAUGGGAUUCUAAUUAGAACAAGUUAUAGUCCAUGUAUCAAUAAUGUAUCAAAAUGCACUCUACUGUCAUCUAUAUCUUUAAAAAAAUGAAAAUAAGUAAAGUGUAGCAAUGGUAUAAUUUAUGUUUCGUGUAUUCUACCACAAUAUUAUAAAAAAAGAAAAAAAAACCUCCAAAAUUAUUCAGAUCAAAGUUUGGACAUCAAGCAUUAACUGCUAUAGUUUGGAACCAUUGUGAGCUAACCACUUGCUGCUGGACUGUCCCAAAUGACAGCUCCAAUAUCCCCUGGCAAUGAGAACCAGC